ensembl:snRNA U2 U2 spliceosomal RNA
AUCACUUCUCAGGUUUUUGGCUAUGAUAAUGUGUAGUAUCUAUUCUUGCCAUUUUAAUAUCUGAUAUAUACUCUAUCCAAGGACAAUAUAGUAAAUGGAUUUUGGGAACAGAGGGGUGGAAUAGGAGCUUGUUCCAUCUCCACUUCAUGCGUCAACCUUGUAUUGUAGUAUCUCCAGGAAUGGUACAUCCCCU